rnacentral:lncRNA from 1 species
AAACUUCCAAAUUCUGUUUUUCAUUUUUAACAUUUAAAAAUUUCUUGGUACAUUGUUGUUUUGUUUUUUGUGGGCUAUUGUUCCCCUUACAUUACAUUCUUUAAAUGAGUGUUUUUAAGAGAUUGCACUCACUGGCAGCUCAAUGUAUGAAUAGUCUCUAGAGUUAAAAUAUUUACAUAUCACACUGGGUACUAGCAGUAUAAACUUACUUAUACUUCCUAAAUGUGUUUGCUAUAAAUGGGAUUCAAAGCAGUUUCAAAACAUUUUGUUCGGUAUACAAGAAAACUUGUUACUUGUCUGUGGCGUUAAAGUUUAUAUAGAGGAAAGUUAGGUCACAGGAAAAAUCUUUCAUAUUCAGUAACGUUUAUAUAAAAUUUGUAACAAAAUUUAUGUUCAGUAGGGAAUGUAAACAAAUGUGGCUUUUGCAAGGCAUGAGGACUACAGUGACGUCAAGCAGCGCUCUGCUGAGUGCUCAGUCAUAUUCUAGUCUCCUGUGAACUGGUACUGUUUCAGUCAUGAUUGUGGAGAGGGAAGCACCCUUCUAGUGUAUAUACAUAUAUAUUUCCUUACAUAACAAAGCAGAUGAGUAUUACCAGAAGUUUAGUUCUACUUUCACUUAGACCACACAAAAGUUUAUUUAAGAAUUUUAUUGUAAAGCUCCUUUAAAACUUUUAAAGAGAUUCUAUUAUGAUUUUUUUAAAUAAAACCAAAUGGCAUGACUUAGACUGUCAGUCUUCUCUGUGUGUCUACUUUUCCUUUUCCCAUUGAUUUGUAGAGACUAAGGAGGACGUCUGGUCACUAUGGUCUGCUUUGAACAGGUGACCAGUGUUACUUACCCAGUGUUAGCAAGCAGUGUACCUUCAAGCCCUUCUAUCAGCUAAACGUCUCUGGCUUUGUCCCCUUUGGAGUUACCUAAGCUGUGGUCACAG